ACAGCAGCCGCCCGGUAAAACGGAGGGAGCUAGCGUUGUUCGGAAUUACUGGGCGUAAAGCGCGCGUAAGCGGUUACUCAAGUCAGAAGUGAAAGCCCGGGGCUCAACCCCGGAACUGCCUUUGAAACUAGGUGACUAGAAUCUUGGAGAGGUCAGUGGAAUUCCGAGUGUAGAGGUGAAAUUCGUAGAUAUUCGGAAGAACACCAGUGGCGAAGGCGGCUUACUGGCUCAUACUGGACGCUGAGGUGCGAAAGCGUGGGGAGCAAACAGGAUUAGAUACCCGCGUAGUCCCUGUCUCUUAUACA
rnacentral:rRNA from 1 species